CACUUUGAAGCCAGCCUCAUUGGACCAAAUCAGUCUCGACAGGCAAUUCGGAAUAUAAAACAAAGAAAAAGUUAUGUCAAGGAAUUCCUUCUCUAUAUGUCAGGAAACAAGGGGGACAUCAACAAGAGCUUCAAUUUCCUAAAUGAUAUCCACAAACUAAAUAGAUACCUUACAAGUCUGAAUGGCAGACUGAAGCCAACCAGUCAGGUGCAUAUCAUUUUGGACAUUGAGGCCUUCUUGAGAUUCAUGAAACUCCAUAGCUCUAGGCUCACUCCCAAAAAAAAUUGCCUGCCUAAUGGAAAAGUUGUCUUUGUGGGAAAAAAUGCUUAGGGCCCCGAGUUGUCAUUCAAAGACAGGAGUUCCGAAGGGCUAAAUGUGCGAAAAGCAUACCUCCUGAACAACUGCUGGCCUUCAUUCAACAAACCAAUGCCUG